AUAUUGGACAAUGGGCGAAAGUCUGAUCCAGCCAUGCCGCGUUUGUGAAGAAGGUCUUAGGAUUGUAAAGCACUUUAAGUUGGGAGAAAGGGCAGUAAGUUAAUACCUCGCUAUUUUUACAUUCUCGACAGAAUAAGCAUCGGCCAACUUCGUGCCAGCAGCCGCGGUAAUACGAAGGGUGCAAGCGUUAAUCGGAAUUACUGGGCGUAAAGCGCGCGUAGGUGGUUCGUUAAGUUGGAAGUGAAAGCCCCGGGCUUAACCUGGGAAUUGCAUCCAAAACUGACGAGCUAGAGUACGGUAGAGGGUAGUGGAAUUUCCUGUGUAGCGGUGAAAUGCGUAGAUAUAGGAAGGAACACCAGUGGCGAAGGCGACCACCUGGGCUAAUACUGACACUGAGGUGCGAAAGCGUGGGGAGCAAACAGG
rnacentral:rRNA from 1 species